AAAUGUUCUGUUAACCGAUAAUAGGAAUAGGAAUAGGCAUCAACGGUGCGACACGAAUUUAUUUAUCUAUAUAAAAUGAGGAUUCCGAUAAUUUUCCUCAUAUUUCUUCUUUGUGUACCUUUUACACUUUGUGGAACUCGAGACUCUAGUGACUUACAUAAUUGUUCUUACGAACACAGAAGGGAACUUUUAAGAGAACAUUGUGCCACUUUGGACAGAAGAAAAAGAAGGAUAUCAUCCCAUCAUCAAAAAAAUGUUUUCCAUAACACUAUUAACAUGGAUGAUGGGGGGAAGUCGACAUUCACCAAGCUAAAGAAAAGAGCAUUUUUGUGCUGCGGUAACAAGUGUAAAACGUUAUUUAACACUUGCAUAUAACUCAUCACCAUUACCUAUUAAGUAACGAUUAUUAUUAAGUUAUUUUGUAAUUAAAAUAAACCUGAUAAUUACCAAUGA